UAGUCAAUGCCCUUGAUUUCUACUAUUAAAAGUUACUGUGUAAGCAUUCGGAAUAGCUAUACUUAUGGCUGCUGAUUUAGUAGUUUAGAAAUAGUCAUUGAAUGGAGUAUUUAUUUGAGCUCGAUAUCUGAUAAAGUUAUGUAGUUGAACCUUUCGUUAUCCUGCAGUUCCGCAAUUCAUCGCUAUUUAAAAAGCAUCACAAAAUCAGCUGAUACUCUCAACGACUCUCUCGAGCACGAUGUCUCUCCUACAAAUUUUGAGUAUCGAAAUGAGACGACAUUCUCAGUCGGCAGAGGCAUCAAAAGUAAAAAGACAGGAACGAACAAAAGGAAAAUAACAAGAGAGAAUGAAAUGAGUUAACAGAUUCCUUUUCUCAAAGGCACGCGUCCUUCUUGUGUACCUACGAUUAGAUGUUUUUGAAAAAGCAAAGUGAGUGCUAGAAUGUUAAUUAAUCAUGUGGUCAUAUAUUCCAAAUCAACUGAAAAGAAGCUGGACUCAACUUCUGAUAAAGACGCCCAAGUUGGAAUUUUAUAUUU